GUGUCAUGAUGAACGUGUUUAUCCAUUCGCUGAGCGCUGGUGUUGCUGUCCCUCGCCGGCCCCGCGGCUCGUUCUGGGUCGCAGGGUUUCGGCGUCUGGUUCUGCUCGGCUGGGCCGGUGUUCUGUCGGGUCAGCGGGUCAGGCUCACGAUGCUGUGCGAGGGAACGGCCCACUUCUGACAAAGACGAUUAAACAUAUCUGAUCAC